UACGGAGGGGGCAAGCGUUGCUCGGAAUUAUUGGGCGUAAAGGGUAGGUAGGUGGUCUCAUUUGUCUGGGGUGAAAGCCUUGAGCUUAACUCAAGAAGUGCCCCAGAAACGGUGAGACUGGAGUCCUGGAGAGGGUCGUGGAAUUCCCGAUGUAGCGGUGAAAUGCGUAGAGAUGUGGAGGAACACCGAUGGCGAAGGCAGCCCCCUGGGCCAACACUGACGCUCAGGCACGAAAGCGUGGGGAGCAAACAGG
rnacentral:rRNA from 1 species